GAAAGAAAAAACCACCCCCCCACUCCCAAGUCCGGCGCCUCCAGCCCAGCCCAGCCCAGCCCAGCCUUGCCUGCCCCGGCGCAGCUCCCCGCUCUCGGCCAGGGGCAAAGAGAAAACGAGAAGUGUCCGCACGGGGAACCAACAAGGGAUCGGGGAAGAGAAACAUCCCGACCCCGGCGAGAGCCCGGAGCAGCCCCGGCGCGGCGCGGAGCACCUCUCCCGGGCGUUGGGAACUCACCGCUCCCCUCCUGCCGCCCGGGAAGCGGAGGGGGGAGGGGGGGAAACUUUUCAGUGGUAUUUUCUGAGCUCUUUGGGCAGAGAUGGAUCUACUCCGUGCCGGGGUCCGCCUCCUCCCUCGCGCACCCCGGGAAGAACCGAAUCCGCCCGGACGGAAACUUCGCAGCUCCCCAGCGCCGCACACGCCCGCGCGGGCGGGCGCCCCGCACACGCGCCUCCACUUGCACGGCCCUCCCGCCUCUGCAUUUCCAACUCCAUCAGCUCCUCCGUCCGAUCCCCGCUGCCCCUUCCCCUAACCCCUGCCUGAACAUGAUUCCCAUUUCCCACUUCAUUCCAUAUUUGUGGAUUGAGGUGUUUUAGCAUCAAUUCCCCCCUAUGCGCUGUGCAGUCAGUUUGGUACGUAUCAAAGCCGGAACUUGUUCAUUAAAUAAAAUAAAAUAAAAACAAUGGUUUGGAGAACGGCAAAUUCUUCUGAAGAGAUUCAGUUUGAUAACUUUUAUUUUUCGUUUCUCUGCUCCCCCGCCAGGAUCAAAA